rnacentral:rRNA from 1 species
UACGUAGGGUGCAAGCGUUGUCCGGAAUUAUUGGGCGUAAAGAGCUCGUAGGCGGUUCGUCGCGUCGGCUGUGAAAACCCGGAGCUCAACUCCGGGCCUGCAGUCGAUACGGGCGGACUUGAGUGUUGCAGGGGAGACUGGAAUUCCUGGUGUAGCGGUGAAAUGCGUAGAUAUCUGGAGGAACACCGGUGGCGAAGGCGGCAUUCUGGACCGAUAUUGACGCUGAGGAGCGAAAGCCAGGGGAGCAAACGGG